rnacentral:rRNA from 1 species
GACGAACGCUGGCGGCGUGCUUAACACAUGCAAGUCGAACGAAGUGGCGAACGGGUGAGUAACGCGUAAUCAACCUGCCCUUCAGAGGGGGACUACCGUUGGAAACGACUGCUAAUACCGCAUACUGAAGGUGGGGAUUGCGUCUGAUUAGCUCGUUGGAGGGGUAACGGCCCACCAAGGCGGUGAUCAGUAGCCGGUCUGAGAGGAUGAAUGGCCAAAUUGGGACUGAGACAAGGCCCAGCAUCCUACGGGAGGCAACAGUGGGGAAUUUUCCGAAAUGGACGAAAGUCUGACGGAGCAACGCCGCGUGAGUGAUGAAGGCCUUCGGGUUGUAAAGCUCUGUUAAUCGGGACGCGGUACCGGAAUAGAAAGCCACGGCUAACUACGUGCCAGCAGCCGCGGUAAUAC